rnacentral:lncRNA from 1 species
CCUCCCCCACGAAAUUCCAUUUCGGCGCCCAAUCCCGCACGGGCGAGCUUGUGUCGCGUAGGCUAUCUCCGGAGUGCCGGCUUGUGGGGAGCGACCCUCACAAGCAUGUGCGAAUGAGCACAAUGGCAAGCAAGCAUGAUCAAUAGUAUCCAGUUCUCGGUCAUCAUGUCUAAAACAUGGAAUAAGUACCAACGACCCCAAAGGUCCAAUAUAGUAUCACAUUGUCAAGGUUCAUCAUUUACUAAUCCAAAUGUCACUACAUGACGUUCAUAUUUACUAUGUCAAGUAUAAGUCACUAGUUCGUAAGCACAUAACACUUGUCAUUAUCCUAUAUAGGAUAGUUCACUAUUGUUUAAGUCUCAAUGAGAGUUUACACUUAGACUAUUCCACUAUAGCUAAGGAAAUUACUUUCUCAUGCCAUAUGCAUAGGUUUUACAAGAUAUGUUGAUGUCCAUGAUGCAUGUCAUGCAUAUACUUUUCUACCAAUGCCUCCACUUCAUGGAGUAAUAAACUAUCAUGCAAGUGAUUUCAAACAAUUAAGCUACAUGCAAAUAUCUGUCUUGUCUUUCACCCAAGGGCGUCCUCAUGUCUAAUACAUGGAAUGCAACCAUCGAUCCCUAGAUCGCAUGUAAUAUCACAAUGUCAAGCACGAGUUAUUCACUAGAUUAAAUGCUCCAACUUAGCUUCAUGUUGAUCUAAUCAUGCACUAUAUCACAACUACCUUGUCUACAACAAGUAUAAUAUUAUCAUGUGAGUAAUGCUAAGUUUCAUUCAUCCUGUCUAUAACAAGUGUAAUGUUGUCAUGCAAGUUAACUACUUGUCUAACCCAUUCACUAGGUACUCUCAAGAGUUGUACAAUCAUUCAUACUCUAACAUGCUUCUUAAUGUUGCAUAAAAGUGAAAUCAUUAUUAAGGGUCACUUUAUGCCCAAAUCCAUAUAUAUGCCUCUACUACAUAGAGCAUAAAUUUUUACUACACAUAACAUAUACAUAUUAUGUUUUCGUAAAUUCUAGCAUGUCAUAUUAAGCAUGAAUAAGUAUCUAAUUAAGUCUUAAAACCGNUUAAUUCUUUUAUCAUAACAUUUGCAUUGAAGAUGACAUAACCAAUACUUGCAUUCCUAUAACCUAUGCACGUAUUUUCAUUCCUAUAACUCCAAACCAUUUAAUUCUUGUAACCUAUAGCUUGUGAGGCCUAUAUAUAGAGUGGAUUUCCAUUCAUUUGCAUAACAACAAUAUACAACAAAAGCUAUAUUCUAUUCUACUUGUGAGAAAGAGAAGGUCAAAGAAAGGUGUUCUUUUGGUGGAGCUUUGGGCUCAUCUACUUGUGCAGAGUUGGUGAAGCCACACGACGAGGGUCGAGCCGUUGUAUCCUGGAGGGGACAAGUCAGUGCUCUACUGCAUCGGUUCAAAGGCUUUGUCAACUGCAGAGGGCUUGAAUCUCCUUAAAGAGAGCGAGAUAUCCGUGCCUCAGCUUGAUCGACUCGUUGACAUUUUUUUUUUAUUAUUUUGUAGCUAAUCUCUAUUUUUUGAAUAUUUACACCAACAAUUUUAAGGAGAUUCAAGAAUGGAGGCUGCACGUGAAAAGUUCAACGAUACUGCCGGAAAUCUCAAUAAGCGAAAGGAGAUGUCUCUCGAGACAUUAAUCGCACGCAUUUGCGUGGAAGAGGAGGCAAGAGGCCAAGAUGCACUUGAAACAAAAGAGAAUGAUGCUAGCGCCACUAAGGUAAACUUAGUAUCUUCUAAUUCUUUACCUAAUAACAAUCGUUCUAGAAAUACAUACUUGAAGCCUAAGAAGAAAAUUAGAAAGAAUUCUGGUAGACCUCAGUUUAAAAAAAAUGACCAAGAACCUCUUUCUUAUGUGAAAAAUAUAGUUUGCUAUGUCUGUGGCAAAAGUGGGCAUAUUGUUCGAACUUGCAAAUACUGGAAACAUAAAGCUUUAUCUCAAGCUAAUAUUACCGAGGAGCCACUUGUGGCAAUGAUAACGUACAUAUUAGUGGAGAAUGCUGAAGGAUGGUGGGCAGACUCUGGUGCCAAUAGGCAUGUCUGUCAUGAUGAGACUUGGUUUAAAACAUAUAUUCCCUAUGAACAACCAAGAAGUAUAAUGCUUGGUGAUUCGCAUACUUUUGAAGUUUUAGGGAGUUGUGAGGUCGAGUUAAAAUUUUCUUCUGGAAGGGUACUUAUCUUGAAAGAUGUAUUGUAUACACCCUCGAUUAGGAAGAACUUGAUGUCAAGUUUUCUUCUUAAUAAAGCUGGCUUCAAACAGACCUUUGAGUAUGAUCAGUAUGUGAUUUCCAAGAAUGAAAAGUUUGUAGGUAAAGGUUAUGCAUGCAACAGAAUGUUUAAACUAAACAUUGAGAAUAAAACAUUAUCUACUACUGCUUACAUGCUUUCUUCUGUGAAUUUUUUGGCAUGCUCGUUUGUGUCAUAUUAACAGCAGAUAUGUUAUCUUGAUGAGUAGUUUAGGAUUAAUUCUCAGACUGUAUAGUGAUUUUGACAAAUGUGAAAUAUAUAGUAAGUCAAAAAUCACUAAACGACCUCAUAAGAGUAUUGAAAGAAGUACCGAAUUACUUGAGCUAAUUCAUAAUGAUAUUUGUGAAUUUGAAGGUAAUUAACUCGUGGAGGAAAUAAAUAUUUUAUCACUUUUAUCGAUGAUUUUUCUAAAUAUACUUAUGUUUAUUUAUUAAAAAAUAAAAGUGAUGCUUUUGAAAAAUUUAAAGAUUUCCUCAAUGAAGUAGAAAACCAAUUCGGUAAAAAGAUUAAGAGAAUUACAAGUGAUCGAGGUCGUGAGUAUAAAUCUACAGGAUUCAACUCUUUUGCUCAGUCUUUAGGAAUAAUCCAUGAGACUAUUGCUCUAUAUUCACCUUCCUCAAAUGGAGUAGCUGAGAAAAAAAAUAGAACACUUAUUGAGCUAACAAAUGUUAUUAUUGUUGACACUAGUGUACCCCUAAAUCUUUAGGGUAAAGCCAUUUUAACAGUAUGUUAUGUCUUGAAUCGCGUGCCAUAUAAGAAGUCUAAGGUGACACCCUUUGAAUUGUGGAAGGGGUAUAAGCCAAAUUUGGAAUAUCUUAAAGUGUGGGGUUGUCUAGCAUAUGUGAUGCUACAGACCCUAAAAGACCCAAAUUGGGUAUUAGAGUUGCCACUUAUGUAUUUUUUGGAUAUACUUUGAAUAGUACAGCCUAUAAAUUUUUAGACAUUAAAAAUAAUGUGAUUUUUGAAUCAAGAGAUGCUAUUUUUCAUGAAGAAAAGUUUCCUUAUAAAUCGAAAAAUAGUGGGGGUCAAGAUUUUAAAAGUGUUUCAAAUAAACCGAGUUCUUCAAACUCUUUUGUGCAAAAUCAAAAAGAAAAUAUUUUUGAACCAAGAAGAAGCAAGCGAAACAGAAUUGAAAAAGAUUUUGGUCCUGAUUAUGUUGUUAUGAAUAUUGAAAAAAAUCCACUUUCUUUACAAGAAGCUUUAUCUUCAAAUGAUUCAAUUUUUUGGAAAGAUGCUGUAUCUGAUGAGAUGGAAUCUGUAAUUUCUAAUAAAACAUGAAAAUUAGUGGAUAUACAACCAGGCUGUACAACAAUUGGUUAUAAAUGGAUCCUCAAAAAGAAGUUGAAACCAGAUGGGAGUGUAGACAAGUAUAAAGCUAGACUUGUCGCAAAAGGUUAUAAACAAAAAGAAGAUCUAGACUUCUUUGAUACCUUUUCUCCGGUGACGAGAGUGAUAUCCAUCAAAAUUCUAAUUGCUAUUGCUGCAAUUCAUGACUUACAAAGUCAUCAGAUAAAUGUAAAGACAGCCUUUCUGAAUGGUGACCUAGAUGAGGAGAUUUAUAUGGACCAACCUGAGGGGUUCAUUGAGCCUGGACAAAAAAAUAAAGUGUGCAAGCUAAAUAAGUCCCUUUAUGGUUUAAGGCAGGCACCUAGACAGUGGCAUGAAAAAUUUGAUUCUUGCAUGAUUAAGAAUGGCUUUAAAUUAAACGAGUGUGAUAAGUGCAUCUAUUACAAAACUUUUGAAAAGUUGCAUGUUAUUGUUAGCCUUUAUGUGGAUAAUUUGCUAAUUUUUGGCUCUAACUUAAAUGUUAUCAAUGAGACAAAAAUUAUGCUAAGUCAUUAUUUUGAAAUGAAAGAUCUUGGUGAGGCUAACUUUAUUUUGGGUAUGAAAAUUACCAAAACACCAAAUGGGAUUUUUCUUGAUCAGUCGCAUUAUAUUGAGAAAAUUUUAAGAAAGUAUAAUUUUCUUAAUUGCAAGCAUGUGACUACACCUUUUAAUUCGAGUGUUCACUUGUUUCCUAUUAAAAGUAAAAAUGAAAAGGAAUAUGCUAGUAUGAUUGAGAGCUUACGGUUUGCGACUGAUUAUAUGAGACCUGAUAUUGCAUACGCAGUAGGGAUACUUUGUAGAUUUACAAGCAAGCCGGGUACAGAGCAUUGGCAUGCCAUGGAACGUGUGAUAAGAUAUCUUGUUGGUACCAAAACUUAUGGCUUGUUUUAUGAGAAGUAUCCUGCUGUGAUUGAGGGUUACAGUGAUACUGACUGGAAUACCCUAUCAAGUGAUUCUCUCUCUACCACCGGUUAUAUUUUUACUUUAGCAGGUGGUGCUAUAUGUUGGAAAUCUAAGAAGCAAACUAUUAUUGCUAACUCAACUAUGGAAGCUGAGCUUAUUGCCUUAGCUUCAGCUAGCGAGGAAGCUAGUUGGUUGAGAGACUUAUUGUCUGAGAUUCCAUUUGUGGAAAAACUAAUUCCAUCAGUGUUAAUACACUGUGAUAGCACUGCUGCUAUUGGUAGAGUAAGAAACCGUUAUUAUACCGGUAAAUCUAGAUCCGUGCGAAGAAAACAGAGUACUGUGAGAUCAUAUAUGAAUAAUGGAAUUAUCAGUGUAGAUUAUAUUAAAUCUACUGAUAAUUUGGUAGAUUCAUUAACCAAGGCCUUGAGAAGAGAAAGGAUCUGGAACACAUCGAGGGGGAUAGGGUUGAAGCCCAUAACAUCAUGAACCGCGUAUGAGGAUACCCAACCCGAUGAUCAGAGAUCCUAAAAAUUGGGUUCAAUGGAAAAAACGAAUCAUAUGGUGGUCGUAAAGAAUGCACAAUAUAUAGAUCUAUAUGAUCACAUCUUUACCUAUCCCUAUGGUGUGGGUGCAUUCAUCCUGUAAUGAAAAGAGGGUUGAGCUUUUGCGCUUAAUGAAAUCUGUGGCUCUUAUGAGUAGGGUGUCAGAAUUACAGGAGCACCCUUGACGGAUUUCACCUAUGUGAGAUUGGAAGUGGGGCCGCUUUCUGUGAGAACGGGCUUAUUCUCAAAAAUGCUCAUGAAAACCAGGAUCAGCACAAGGCCGUAACGUGCUAGCUAUUAAAGUUCAUGUCAACACUUGGAUUGUUAUAUGUGAGCAGUAACUUUCUAUUUCCCCUAAGCAGCCAAAGUUCAAGUCUGAGACCACUCUGGCUCUGGAGUAGAGAAUACUGUUUCACUAAGUGAAGGUUUAAUGCAGAGCACACCUUCAUUAUGUAUAAUGGUCCCUCUUUGGCCAUCAAACUCUCAUAUAUAUUUAAUAAUAAAAUGAGUAGGGGAAUGUUGUUACAUUUUAUUAUUAAAUGUUAAUUCUUUUAUCAUAACAUUUGCAUUGAAGAUGACAUAACCAAUACUUGCAUUCCUAUAACCUAUGCACGUNCCCAUAGUAGUCAACAUUCCCACUCUAGGAAUAGCCUCCCCCACGAAAUUCCAUUUCGGCGCCCAAUCCCGCACGGGCGAGCUUGUGUCGCGUAGGCUAUCUCCGGAGUGCCGGCUUGUGGGGAGCGACCCUCACAAGCAUGUGCGAAUGAGCACAAUGGCAAGCAAGCAUGAUCAAUAGUAUCCAGUUCUCGGUCAUCAUGUCUAAAACAUGGAAUAAGUACCAACGACCCCAAAGGUCCAAUAUAGUAUCACAUUGUCAAGGUUCAUCAUUUACUAAUCCAAAUGUCACUACAUGACGUUCAUAUUUACUAUGUCAAGUAUAAGUCACUAGUUCGUAAGCACAUAACACUUGUCAUUAUCCUAUAUAGGAUAGUUCACUAUUGUUUAAGUCUCAAUGAGAGUUUACACUUAGACUAUUCCACUAUAGCUAAGGAAAUUACUUUCUCAUGCCAUAUGCAUAGGUUUUACAAGAUAUGUUGAUGUCCAUGAUGCAUGUCAUGCAUAUACUUUUCUACCAAUGCCUCCACUUCAUGGAGUAAUAAACUAUCAUGCAAGUGAUUUCAAACAAUUAAGCUACAUGCAAAUAUCUGUCUUGUCU